AGCCGUCAGGCCGAGGGCACGUCUGCCUGGGCGUCACGCAUCGCGUCGCCCCCC
rnacentral:rRNA from 1 species